UAUUGUGACCAUAAAACUCCCUGGGACAUAAAAGCGCUAGAAUGAUCGUUCACAGAGUAUUCACCAAACAUACUCAGUGCCUCAGAAGUCCACAGAAUGGCCCCACCUAUAGGACACGUUGUAAAAUCACACUGAGUUCUACAACCCAUGUCAAAAACUAUGGAAUCGCCACAUUUGGAGAGUGUUCAUUCAACUUAUUUAUUUUGUAUCAAACAUUUUUGUAGCAACUAUUUUUGUUUCUUAAUUGAUCACGAAACAUCCCUCAGAAAUAUUACUUUUAUUAAUUAUACAGAUUUUUUUAGAUCAAAUGGAGGGAAACCAGUAUGGAGUCACUAAAUGCUGAGAAAUAGUUAUAGAAUUACUGUAAAGAUUUUCCAAAUCUGCCAUCAAUAGAUUCAGACAUGCAUAGGCUUAGAUUUUAAGGGGGACACCCCCAUCGCAGUAUGUAGAAAACAUCUCUUCCAUUUCAGGGUCGCUGGAGCCUUUCCCAGCUACCACAGGACGAGAGACAGGGUGCACACUGGACAGGUCGCCAGUCUGCCACAGGGCUAACACAUAGAGACAAACAACCAUUCACACUCAGAAUUACCCCUAUGGGCAAUUUAGAAUGACCAGUUUACCUAACCCCACUAACUGCAUGUCUUUGGACUGUGGGAGGAAGCCAGAGUACCAGGGGAACCCACGCGGAUCUGGCCGGGUGGUGGAAUCAAACUCUGGACCUGCUUGCUGUGAGGCAACAGUGCUAAUCACUGCACCACUGCCCGUGUAGAAAAAUGCAUUUCUCGAAGCCAGACGAUAUGAAAAAAUGCCAAAAUAUAUACUGAAAUAAACAACUGUUACCUUCCUUCAGAAAUAUUUAAUUUUAUUCCCAAAAUGUGAACUGGAUAUGGUCAGUUACAAGUUAUUAGUUAAGUUUUUAUGUGAAGAGGAAUACCCAUUUUACCCCCACAAAAACAUCAGCAAAGUGUUUACUGAGGUCAUAGAUCAAGGGAACAAACGGAUUUCGAAUCACCACGUCUUUGACACCAGAACAGUCGCCUCCUGCUGGCCAUCAGAAAGAAUUUAGUGUUAGGGCACUUUAGCAUUGGCUUUACUUUUCACAGUUGGAAGUUAUGUCCAUUGGGAAUGGUGAGCAUGGUGGUGCAGUGGUUAGCACUGUUGCCUCACUACAACAAGGUACUGAGUUUGUUUCCACCACCCUGCUUGGGCCUUUCUGUGUGGCGCUUGCAUGUUCUCUCCGGAUAAUCUGGCUUCCUCCCACAGUCCAAAGACAUGCAGUUAGUGGGGUUAGGGCAACCGGCAAUUCCAAAUUGCCCGUAGCUGUAAAUGUGAGAGUGAAUGAUUGUCUCUUUGUAAGCUCUGUGAUGGAUUGGUGAUCUACCCCAAUACUGAAACCUAAAAAGAGGAACAGAAGGCUCCAUUUUAUAUCCAGUCUAUGGAUAUAUGUCAUUCAUCAUUCCAAAAAAACUGGUAACAUGUGACAUAUUCAGAAUGUGCAAGUUCUAAACAUUACAAACCUUUGCUGAAACCCAUGUGGGCUAUUAAACUGACAUGAACACGUGACUGGUACAAAUUUAAUUAGGUUACUUCACAAACAAAGGAGACAAGAGCAGCCUGAAUUCAUAUCAUCUUGUUCCACUCUUCAUGUGUGACUUGGCAGGGACAAUAUUGAAUUAAAUCCACUGAGAAUAAUUAUUUCAAAGUGAGAGAGAAUGGCAUAGAUCCGAACUGGGUUAAAUUCCAAUAUAUGUUUUCAUUUACUGUACAUGAAUACAUACUUUUACUGUAAAUUGAUGCAGAAAACAUAUAAACUACUGCAUAGAAAUACACCAGAUUUUCAGGUAUGGAAGAGGCUGAUGCUCAGAUUUUCCUGGCUAAGGAUUCCAAAUACCUACUGUCUGUGUUUAAGGAAAACCCCAAAAUAAGAGAAAUACACAAGGUUUUUUUUAGUUUGUUUUUUUUAGAGAAAACAAGAGCCAUGCAACAAUAAUUCAGUGCCACUGAUAUUACUGGAUCUCAUAACAGAAUUCAUUCUCCUGCAGCCAGUUUUAAGUAUCUGGUAGAAAGAUGGACACCAGGAAAGCGAAACCUACUAAAUAAAGGAAAUUCCUGAUAAGGUUUGUUUCAGCAGGCAUACAGAGACGCUAAUGUCUAGAUGCCCAUCAGUAUUUCAGCAUUUCCAGAAGGAAAAAAAAGAAGCAAAUGAUCACGUGCAUGCUCUCGCUCUCUGCUGCUUAGUUCAAUACAUCUGAUUUCUCUGCACAAGUACAAGGCUGCAGAGACCCACAGGAUGAGAAUAAGAGCAAAUGUAUUCAUGUUCAGGUAUUCAUGCGGAGGUCGCGAAUUCAAAGGAUCUGAAUCACACGAACUCAGUAAAUCAAUCGCGCAGGCAGGCAGUCAAUCAGCGGGGAAACCUAUUGAUUCAUAAAAUCCGCAUCCCACACAUUCUCUCUUUCAUACAUAUACACGCGCCUGCAGAUUCCCCCCUCUCUCUCUUAGAGAGGCAGAGAGGCUGACUCCGCCUUCCUUUCCUUCUCUCACUUGGCACUGUGUCUCCUUGUUGGCGGUACAGUAUAACAGAAGCAUACAGAUCGGGGACCGACGGUGGAUGGGGAAAGGCAGUAGCCGCAGCAGCAGCAGUCGGACGUACCGACCGAAGGAUGCUCCAGCACCAUGACUUGCUCGGCGUCAGAUAGCGAGAAGAUCGUCAUCAACUGCGGUGGGAUUCGACACGAGACCUACCGGAGCACCCUAAAGACGUUGCCGGGGACGCGCUUGUCUUGGCUGACAGAGCCCGACGCCUACAGCAACUUCGACUACGAUCCCAAGUCCGACGAGUUCUUCUUUGACCGCCACCCGGCCACCUUCGCCUUCAUCCUCAACUACUACCGUACCGGCAAGCUCCACUGCCCCAACGAUGUCUGCGGGCCGCUCUUCGAGGAAGAGCUUGCCUUCUGGGGCAUCGAUGAGACGGACGUGGAGGCGUGCUGCUGGAUGAAUUACCGACAGCACCGUGAUGCAGAAGAAGCCCUGGACAGCUUUGAAACCCCCGAACCGGAUCCACCCGAGGACGACCCUGCACUCACCGGCGGAGCGGAUGGCGACCUGAAACGUCUGUGCAUGCAGGAGGACGGCCGCAGGGCGACAUGGUGGGAGGUGUGGCAGCCCAGGAUGUGGGCGCUGUUUGAGGAUCCCUACUCCUCCAAAUAUGCCCGGUAUGUGGCUUUUGCCUCACUCUUCUUCAUCCUGCUCUCCAUCUCCACAUUCUGCCUGGAGACCCAUGAAGCCUUCAACACCAUCUACAACAAAACAGAGAAUGUCACCGUUGGCAACGUGACACGUGAAGAGAUUGUAUAUGAGGUGGUCACAGACAGCUGGCUCACAUAUGUCGAGGGCGUCUGCGUCAUCUGGUUCACCAUUGAAGUAAUGGCACGCGUCAUCUUCUGUCCUGACAAGGCAGAGUUCUUCCGCAGUGCCCUGAACAUAAUAGACUUUGUGGCAAUUGUGCCCUUUUACCUGGAGGUGGCGCUGAGUGGCCUAUCCUCCAAAACAGCCAAAGACGUUCUGAGCUUCCUGCGUGUUGUACGCUUUGUCCGUAUCCUACGUAUAUUCAAGCUGACCCGCCACUUUGUUGGUUUACGUGUGCUGGGCCACACUCUGCGCGCCAGCACCAAUGAAUUCCUGCUGCUCAUAAUCUUCCUGGCACUAGGUGUCCUCAUCUUUGCUACCAUGAUCUACUAUGCUGAACGUAUUGGUGCUGACCCAGAUGAUCCAACAGCUGCAGCCCACACCAACUUUAAGAACAUCCCCAUCGGCUUCUGGUGGGCUGUGGUGACCAUGACCACGCUGGGAUAUGGGGAUAUGUAUCCUGAAACAUGGUCAGGAAUGCUCGUGGGUGCCCUCUGCGCCUUGGCUGGGGUGCUGACAAUUGCCAUGCCAGUGCCUGUCAUCGUCAAUAACUUUGGCAUGUACUACUCCCUGGCCAUGGCUAAGCAGAAACUCCCCAAGAAGAGGAACAAGCACAUCCCGAGGGCGCCACAGCCAGGCAGCCCAAACUAUUGUAAGCCAGAUGCCCUGGCAAUGGCGACAGCAUCUCCUCACAGGUUGAUGGGAAAUGUGCUCGGGCCUGGCAUGGUGGGAUCUGGCAGCAUGAUGGGUACUGGAGACUGCCCAUUAGCACAGGAGGAGAUCAUUGAGAUCAACAGGGCAGACUCCAAGCAGAACGGUGAUGCAGCAGCUAAUGCUGCGGCUCUGGCCAAUGAGGACUGCCCUACCAUUGACCAGGUCCUGGGAGACGAGCGUAGCCCGGCCACCGGUGGGCUAGGCUCCACCACCAGCCGUGAGCGCUACCCGCACGACCGGGCGUGCUUCCUGCUGAGCGCAGGGGAGUUUCAGCGCACAACAGACGGAAACGUUCGAAAAGCCACAGGUUAUGAGAAGUCACGUAGCCUCAAUAACAUCUCUGGAAUGACAGGCGCCCCGCUGCGCCUCACUCCCAUCACUAAUUCUACCUUUGAACCCUUUGAGCCGCCUGGCCUCAGGCGAUGUCAUUCCCCCAUCCCUUCAAUCUUGUAGCAUAGCCCACAGAUAGCCACCAAAUUUAACAACAACAGCAGCAACAGUAACAUUUAGAAAUAUUUUUUUGUCUGAUUAUUCGUUUUGCUUUUUGCAUGGAAAAAAAAGCCUACACACAGAAGGAAUUACAGUUUGUCCAGGCCGCUCUGUCAUUCUGCAUUCAUGCCUUGUGUUUUGUUCUUGAUCUGAAACAACAAUGAAUGCAAGUUCAUGGAGCCCCUGGAGGCCCCAUUUAAUAAUUUCAAGAAAGAUUAGCUGAACCUUACUGAAAUAAAUGUGGCAAAUUUGCCUUACUAACAUGAAAAGAGUUUAGCUUACAGUAGAAUAAUAGAAGAGUUAGUUUACCUCUAGUUUUUCCUGUGCUACGCCUUGCCUGUAUUUCAACUGCACUUGUACAUCAACGCUUUAACCUUGGUACCUAAGAGGAGUUACAAAUCUUCUAAUAUGAAGCCUAAGAAUGCAUACAGUGACACACUGACACCAACAUAUUACAGCAGCAUGUGUGUUUUUACUCCAGAAUAAGAGAAUACACUAGCCUAUAAGAAGCAAACACAUUUUGUAGAAGCAAACACAUUUUGUAUUUAAAUGCCCCUUACUCUAGCUCCUCUGCAACUUAACUUGAAAGUCAUGUUUGCUGUAGAAGGUGAUGUGCUAAAACAUCAUCAAACAUUUAACAUAGCUGAAAAGAGACAGUCUCCCAUAUAUGUCAACUUCAACACCAGCUUCUGAGCCCUUGUGCCCUUUCUCCUGCUUCCUGGUAAUUAAUAUAGAAGGACCUGUUAGUAUGGUGGUCAAAGUAUUGUGGUUUUUCAUUUGUCCCUACCAGUAAGGAGUUAUAAUGUACAGAUAUAAUGUAUUUUUCCAUAACGGAAUUGUACAUUAUGCUGAUUUAACCAUGCAAGCACUAUUGUGCAGUAAAGCUAGUUACAAACUCAUUAUACAUAAUAAAUGUAGGACAAACUUUAUAGAAUAUCAAGUUUUUACACAGCUAAAAGUACAAAGCAGCAGGGCCAAGGGUUAGGGAUAAGUGCUCCCUGUGAUCUGAAAUUUUACACACACACAUAUAUAGAUAUAUAUAAAUAUAUCAUUGGGCAAUAUGAUCUUAUUACUUCUGCUUGAGCCAUCAGAGAUGAACACUUUCUUGUUUCUUUGUCUUUGUUAAUUACUUUCAAAAAGAACACUACAAAGAAAGCUUCUUUGGGUUUUUUUCACCAGACUGGGGUCAACAAAUUGACAGGACACUAAGCUAAUUGUCCCCUUGCAUCACCACAAAAUGCAUGCUCUUAUGUUUAUUUGUGGAUAAAAAGAAACACAUUGAAGCAGUGACUUUUAGUUUGUAAGGGUUAACCCUGACUACAGUGAAGACAUGAACUUACUGGAAGAAAGGAAAGCAAUCAGCAAAUCUUCCAAAAAGCUGUUUCUUUCCUUUCUGUGUACGUGGAAAAAUGUCCUGCGAUAAACUAGCCACCUUUCCGGGGUAUUCCCUGCCUCUCUCCCUGUGACAGCUGGAACAGACUCCAGCACCCCUGAUGCUUAGGAAAAUAGCUGGAUGGAUUUAUCUAUAAAAGCUCCAGACAUUGCAGCUGCGCCUGAGUGUUUGAGGCAUAGUUUUCUUUAGGCUUAUGUUCACCACACCACCACCACCACCACCAUCACUGCUGCUGCACCAUCACUACUAUCACUGACUCUAAUGUGGCCAGUGGCAAUAUUUUUAGUUUUCUCCCCAUUUCGCUUCUUGUUCUUUCCCUGUUUUUGCCUGUCUUUUACUCCUGAACCCCAUCCUGCCCUUCUUCUCCUGUCCUUCCAUCUCUUCUUUGUUUUUGGCUGCGGCUGCUCAGUAGGAGGUACAGUGAACGGCUACUGGAGUGACAGCCCAUGGUAGAAGAAAAGCAGAUGCCAAAAACCACACAGGAAGAAGACAGCAAAUAAAGGACGGACAGAGAAAAAACACAAUCUAGACAAAUAAGACAGUAGAGGAUGUUUCUGUCCGCAUCAGUGUUUUUAUGUGCAUGUGUGCCCAGACCUGCAGCUACCUCUGUACUAAAGCCAAUAAAUUCAGCAAGGAAGAACAUAUCUCCCUUCACAUGUUCUUCCUGAUUCCUGAUGAAGAUUUUUGUGGAAAAAUGUAUUUGACUGCAUUUGGAAAAAGACGGUCUGUUGGUUAAGUUGUAUCUUUUUGAUUCCCUUGUGCUCAACUCUUGCUCUCUCCUUUUUUCUCUCCCAGCAGAAAGUAGAAUAGAAUUUUUCAUUUGUUUAAACAUCAAAGAAAAAUCAAACUGAUGCAAAUUUGCUUUAAAAUUCAGAGAGUGUUUAGAAAAUUGCACCAAAAUAAGUGUACAGUGGGAGGUAUGUCCUUCCUGUUACUUUUUUACAUUCAGACUGUGAGUUACAGAAGGUGAGAGCACUGCUUCUAGACAUCAUUUUUGAAUGUUUAAGUAUGUUUUUUUUAAACAAAUAUCUUGUUUAUGUUUAAAUGUGUGUUCACUUUCUUGCCACAGCAGUCUAUAGUCUGGCUGCUAAGUUUGGAACUAUAGCUAGAAAGUCUGAGCUUACCUUAGACUGGAAAAGAAAAUAACAACUCCCAGUUUCAUUACCUAAUAUAGUGUGGGAACAUGGUGACAGCUUGUUAUUAUUUUCAGGUUAAUUUUCAGGUUUGUUAGAGGUGUUAGUGGAUUUGUCUGUCUGUAUAGGGCUAACUGCAUCACAGUUUUGAAUAUUUAUGCUAAGCUAACUUCAUUUAUCACCUGCUGGCUGUUUUUCAGGCACAACUGCUCAAGCUGCUGUUGGCAAGAAAGUGAUGUACAGAUUUGUCCAAAGUGUGUAGCUAUUCUUAUGUGUGUUUUAUGUCAGGCAAGGUUUUCUAUUGUUCUCGUUUAUCCUGAUGCUCAAACCCUCUGUGGUGCAGUAAUGAAUAACUUGGAUAUUUCCGUCCACUGGGGGAUUCGUGAAAACCAGGAACACAUUUACACACCUCAUUCCAUCCUCUCCUUUUCCCAGCAUCCAUUUGUUCAGAGUGCAUCUGUCACUUUUCCCCUUUGGUUUGUUUUGUUGUGACAGUGUAUAUAUGUAAAGUUUGUCUUGUAGAUAAACCUGCAUGGGUUUCUGUCACAAUCAAUAAGGAUACUGAUAUGAUCAAUAAUUUGAUAAAGUUUUAGUCUCAAGCCUAAUGGCACUGUCUAGAUUACCACGCGUGUGUGGAUGUAUAUGUUGAGGUACUUACAUAUGCACUAACAAAAGCAUGCAACACAAAAAAUGGUCACCUCUUUGAAUGCAGGAAGAGGUCGAUGGACAUUAUGCAUGACUAAAUGCUACGAUGAUACUGGUCAGACCAGACCAAGUUAGGUACUGUAACAGGGAAGGGUGAGGGUGGGAAAGUUUAUUUUUGCAGGAUGGGGAGGGGUUUUGUUUCUAGUAGGUCUUCUACUGCUGCUUUCUUAUCACUCUUGAGAGACUUACAAGGUAAACAUUAACAAUUGUAGCUUUUUCUUCUUUUUUUAGCUUCUCCCUUCACAAAGAGCUGUUCUGAAAGCUGUGUACUUAUCAGAUAUAUGCAAAAAAAGUAACACUAACUGUGAACUAAUACUAAAAAAUCCAGCUUCUUCCAUCAGUGUUUCAGCUCCAUUUUUCCCCGUUCAUGUUUUCUUUCAUUUGCACCUUAAUUUUGUGUCCACGUCAUGUGUCAUUUCCAUCUGCCCUUUCCUGUUCUGUAAACUGUAAUAUGUCCAAAAGACACAUGUCUCUGUAAUGCAAUAAUUCGCUGCACCUUCUGAACAAAGAGCAAUUCCUAAUUAUCCAUGUUUCCUUCAGCAGCAUACAAACAAUUUCCUUCUUUUGAUGUCCCAGUGACCUGAUGUCCCUUCUUUCUUUUCCCAGUAAAGAGGAAAAGAAAGUCCAUGAAGCCAUUCCUGUCAUAGAAUCCAUAAAUAUAUGGAUUUGAUUGGUCAAAAGGGCCACAUCUACAGUCAGUCGGAAUCAAUACAUGACUAACACAUGCAAGAAUCCUGUCAAUCUAAUUUAGCCAAGAUGACAAAUUUUUAAAAAUGAUGAAGAUUUAUACUGAUCUUAGGAAAGUAGUUCAUUGUAUCUUGUAAUGUAUAGAAGCCCUUUGUUUUUCUGGAUGAACCACACAUUUUUGAUUGCUUCGUUUUAAAAGUCUCAAGAUUUGUGAAUUCCUAGUGAGAACCAUUAUUGCUGGAGCAACGCUCAAAAGUUAGAGCUUGAAGAGUGUUUCAUGUGAAUUGUCACUGGCUUUUUCUAUGUGUCAUGUUUGUGAUCUGUGUUUCCUCCAUCUACUCAGGUAUAGCUCUCUUAACCUGUGCCCAUCUGUAUCUGGUCACCCAUGCUUUCUCAGAUAUGACAAACUGAAGGACUAGAGAAAAACACUGAAAAAGGUUUUCUGUGAAUGCCAUGUGCUCUGUUUUAGGGUUCCGUCUACAAAACUGCUGUCCUUGCUUUGUUUUUCCGAAUGUGCUCCCUGUCUUCUCCUUGUAUUUCUCCUCACCUUUCUUCUCUGUCCCAGUAACUGUAUCUCACUUUCUAUGGGACACCAUCCAUCCAUUCUUCAAGCCAGAAAACUCAAGCCAAAAAGGAAAACGUGUAAAUUAGAGCACCUUCGCAUUGGAAAAACAAAAACUAUUGGCCUGACAGUGGACUUCGCUGAGGAUGAAGAUAGGAAUGGACAAUAAAAGAAUAAACAAGAGGGUAAUGAUAUGUUGUAAACAGAUGCAGAUGAACAAAUGUGCUAAAAACUCGUGUUCUGAGUGGAUUGUCAGCUGAGCAGCAUCAAAGAGAGGAGAUGGAGGAGGAAAAGUUGGGGCAACACAGAAAGUGUUGGAGGAGGAAAGAAAGAAGCACAAAUCGCUUCUCCAUUGCUGAGUUUUUAACAAACUCACCCAUUCCUCUACAAGAAGAGGAAAACUAUUAACUGUAAACUGCUGCUCGUCUCUUUCUGCUGAUGGGAUUCACCGUAGAAACUGGGAGGGAGAUAGAGAGAAAGAGAAGAACAACACUGGUGUUCACAGUUCCAUCAUCACAUGCAACCUAAUGGAGAAAUUGGCUGUUAGUAAAUGUAAGCCAUAUUAACUUGGAAGACCAAACAAUUUCACGUCCUCUGAACUGAUUUCCAGAGCGAAUGGCUACAUAGAUUCUCUCAGCUGAGCUGCCAGAGGGCUUCCUGCCCGAUGGUCUUGUAUCUGGAAACCUCAUGUCUUCUGGAUGUCUUGUUAGGUGUUUUAGUCACAAUUUUAUGUAAUGUAGUUGUCAUAUUGCUUUACUUACCUUUUUUUUUUUCAAGAGACUGCAUAAACUGCGACUGAUUCCCAGGAAUCAUCCAUUAUUUCGGCACUCAAAGCACUAUGCAAGGUGAGGGAGUCCAUCACGAUGUCCAGCGACUGCUAGGCUGCCCUGUUAAUCUCAGCUGAGAAACAGCAAGCUGAAGUCAAUUCAUACAUAUCAAAAAACAGCAGCUUUCACACUUAUAUGCACAUCACACAGUCAUUUAUGUUUUACACUAGCUGAAUCUCCCAGGAGGCAUCGAGACAACAUCUUGGGACUUCAAAUUCAGCAAGACAUCAGCAUGUUAGUUCGAAUGAGGUAACCCAAAGACGACAGACACUUGGAUGGAUGCAUUAGUUGAGAUGAACAGAAACACUCAAAGGCACUAAACUGGCCAUAAUGUCACAUGGCUGUCUUCAGGCAUCACUGAAGAUAGCCAUGGGAUAGACCCUCUUUCUCACUUGUUCCUUCUUGAGAUUUUGUGGUAUUUUACCCGAGUACCCCCGCCACCCUUAACUGCAUCUCUGCAUUGUUAUUGCUCCUCCCCUUUAGAAAAUCUGCAUGAAAAUCUGUAUUAAUGGGGGGAGGGGGGCAUAGUUAGAUUUUCUUUCAGCAUUGUUAGAGUAAUAGUAGUAUCACUAUCAUCCAAGAUACGUUUUAACUACUUACUGCUAAGGAUCUAUGAAAACAUGGUGGAGGAGGAUGCGCACCCUCCUCUCAGAGAAAAAGGAGACCAUACACACCAUAUCUGUUUGGAGGUGGGAAACUGAGCAGGCAAACAUCUUUUAGAAACUAUUUUAGGGACAAAAAAUGUCAAUGAUUGCAAAUUAGAAAUUCAUUUUUCUGACAUUGUUUAUCAGCAUGAAUAAUGUGCAUGACUUUUGCAAGUCACUCUUCUCUCUCAUGAAUAACAGGGCUAGAAACUGUUUUUUGUGUGUGUGUGAAAAUGUAAUAAUGUUACGUUAUAUGCAAUAGAAUGCGUACAGAUAAGUGUGUAGGAAUAACGAUUUCAUCCAUUUGAUUAACAUGGUAAAACACCAUUAAGAAAAAAAAGGUGAACCCUGUGUAGUUCUCUUUAAGAUGUCUUAGGACACCCAAUAAUAUAGCUUUCUUAAAUCCAAGAGGAGUCCUCUUCAACUUCUGCAAGUAUUUAUUCUGCUAUUGCUUCAACCUUUCACCUGGCUGCUAUUCUGCCUUUUUCUUAUUAUUACUAUUUCUUCUUCUUAUUGAAGCCUCUUACUAGAUUCCCUAGCUGUUAAUCUCUACAAUCACUGCUGUUUCCGGACACAGGACUGAAAGUUGUCCAUUCAAAGAUGUCAUUAUCCUGUGCAGUCAAACUGAAAAGGUUAUGUUGUUCUUUUAGUUGGAACUUUGUCCUUGACCUAAAUGUUGCUUCCAAGGUCUUGAGGACCUUCCAAAGAACCAUCAGAGGUGUGGGGUUCAGAUUACUUUAGGAGAAGGUCUACUGUUGUUUUGUUUGUUUGUUUGUACAUACUCUCAAAGUAAUCCAAGCUGAUCAGAUGACUUCAUCAGAUGACAAGGUACACAAUGCCUCCCUCAUGAAGUGUUAGUUAACACUUCAUGAGGGGGACAGUCUGACAGAUACAGAAAGAUGUCAUCUACAAAUGUUUGGUUUCAUGGUGUAGCUUGGACAAAUGACUCUUUAAGAGCAAUACACAACCCCAUCAUCACUGUUAGUCCCUGGUACAUUUGAUGUAUCUUUUUGUCUUGAUCUGGAAUGACCUCUUUCUUUUAUUUUCACAAUCGUUCAGGGACAAAAAGAAAAAGAAAUACCUUAGUGGAGUUCCUCAAGUUGCAUAUUUGAAUAUUUGUUGACUGAAUGAAAUAUGUAAUCACCAUAUUUAUAUUACUCUUAUCCAUGAGCCCAUUUCAUAAAACUUAUACCUGGAGUUUCCAUAGUUCUUGGGGAAAAAAACAGCCUGCAAAGGUACUGGCUACUAAAGACCUCACCUGAUGAGUCCAUUUAUGAUAUUUUUAGUAGGCUGUCAUAGCAAAUAGUGUACCAACUGAAAAAUUAGGCUACAAGUUAAUAAGUAAAAAGAGGUUGGGAAACUGUUCUUUGAAAAAUUUAAAGAGAAUUGUGCCAAAAUAUACUAUUUGAGUCAAACUAAGUUGUUAAUACAAACUGGUGAAACACUACAGGAGCAGAGUAUGCACAAGUGUAAGAUAUGCUCCUCUGAUAGAUAGAAAAAUGAUUAUUACAUGAAAAUAAGAAAUAUGUGUUUGUUAAAUAAUCUGGAUUUUAAUUGUGCCUCUCCUUUUUAUACUGUUUCAUUCAUAUGAAUUGCUCUGUAUUGUCUCUAUUAUACAUUGACUUUUGCUCAUGAUGCUGGGUAAAUGGACUGGUUCAUACGUAUAGCGCUUUUCUACUCGAGCACUCAGAGCGCUUUAUACAGCAUGCCUCAUUCACCUGAUAACAGAAGCUAUUUUUUCCCAUGCCUAAGUGUUUUUAUCUAACAUUCACUCACAUUCACACUCUGAUGGAUGCAGUGAAAAGCAAAUUGGGGUUAUCAUCUCACUCAAGUAUAUCUGAAAUGCAGGCUAGAGCAGCCAGGGUUUGAAUCUCCUGAUUAGUCGAUGACCUGCUCCACCUCCUGAGCUACAUUACAUUAUUAUUAGAAUCUCUUAUUUCAUGAACGUCAAAGAAAUGACAAAAAAGGCAACAACAAAGCCGUACAAAACAACUAAAGAGAGAUUUUAAAUAACUUAAAAGACAAAUAGAACACCCCUUACCCACAAAUAGACCCAGAGAGUCUACAGUGAUGAUGAUAAUGACUACAAUGACAGUUGGAGGCUCAUAAUAACUGUAAAGAGACUAAAAAUCACCUCAAGAGGCAAAACAGAACUGAAAACAACUAAAAAAGAGACAAUAAAUAAAGUUCAAAAUAUCAGUAAGAGGCCCAAAACUUUAACAGAAGAAAAAGAUGUUCAUCUUCUUAUUUUGUGUCUGACUGCAUUCUGACUGGGGGAGAUGGGGGGGUAGGAGUGGGCUUUUGCAUGGCGAUGCCCGAGGCCUCAAAUUCUGUGAGUAGAUGAGUAGAUACAGUAGGACACCAAACAUCAAAUCAAAACGUUAUAAUGAAAAACAUGUUUCCUAUGAAAAAUGUCAAAAAUGAAACAUUUGAAAAAAUCUGUUUAUUUGAAGGUAAGCAAGCAUGCACUUUCUGCUGAAAUCGCUAAACUUACCUGUCUGCUUAUAUAAGAGUCACAGAGCUAAAAUUAGAGGCCACGUAGAAAAAAAUGAUUGAUCGUUAUCCUGAGAGAUUUGAAUUUAUGUACUAUAUCUUUAGAUUAUUGCUCUCCUGUGCCUUGCUAAUCAAUAGCAAGACUCUGCUCCGGAAAUACUGCUGUGAUAUUUAGGAUUAAUAAAAAUGUAUAUAUAUAUCCAUUUAAACAAUACAUUUAUCAUUUAUUGCUUAGCAGCCAUGGUAGCUGAAGCUGAGGUUAUGGAUGAUGAUAAGAAUAUGUUUUAUAAUAAAUGUUACUUUUUUCAACAUAAUUUAUGGUGAUUCUUAAUUUUGGUGGUAACCCAGGGUAUCUCAGGUAUAUAGUAUUCUAUCAAAACAUCAGGAUGUUAGGAUGCUGCAGUAUACACUCCAGAAUGUUUCAGUACUAAAUCUGACGAAUUCAGUGAGUACAUGUGGAUCUGUGGAAGUUUACUUGAAGGCUUGAAGUAGAUUUUUCUGACUAAACUCAAUGCGCUAGCAUCUCUGUCUUUAGUGAUAUUGCAUGGGAUAAAAAGAAUUGGUUCCAGUGUUUUAUAUCAGUUGUUUUCUUAACACUGUAUAUUACUUCAGCUUCAGCCGUGUCAAAAUGAAUAAGAGGAUUUUAUGUACUGUAGCUACACCAAGAUGAACAUCCAUCCAUUACUUUUUAAAAUCUAUGCCAAUUGUACUCACUGGAGACGUGAUCUUCUUUACUCAAAGCCUUUUUGAUUGGAAGGUAGCAUAACAGAAGCCCUGACAGGUCCUCUAUGCUAUCCUAAUAAACUGGAUUGGAUGUUUUAUUUGAUGUCCUGAGGCUUGGAAUACUUAUGAUUCUAUUCCAAAAAUAACACAAGUCCAAAAACUGCAUAAUGGGUCUUUGAUGAGUAAAAUUUGUUGUGAUAUUUGGUACUCUGACAUCUUCAAUUUGUGAAUAUUUUAAAUUUUUGCUUUUCAGUGUUUCCAAAAUGAUGUAUAAUACGUACAUGUAUGAAAAAAUGCUUCAGAAGGUUCUGGGACAUGAACACAAAUCUGUAUCACAGUGAGCUUUACCCCAUCACCUCAUCACCAUUGCCAACCACUCCCAUAAUUCAUCAGCCAUGUUGUGUCAACCAGGCCACCACCUGUCCACUAACCCACUUAAAAACAUUAUGAAGCCAGUAAAGACUGUGAGAUUGUAGAAACACACAGGAAGUUCUUAGGAUAAAGUAAUAAUGGAACAAGGCUCCCUGGUUUAUGUUAUUUUUCAGGAUUUCUGGUUAUGUAACGUGUUUGUAAAAAAAAA